GGAACGGGUGGCAGCAAGGAUUUCGUUUGUGGAUGAGGAGCUCGACCUCUCCUCUGUAUCUGCUGCCAUGAACCAAAUCAACAAUUUCAGAGAGCUGAGAAAAGAAGAUGUGAGAUAUGAUCUUUGUGACUGAUUAGGAAACUGAGUCACUGAAGGUGAUACCUUAGUCAUGUAUGUAAAUGAAACUCGAGAUCAUUAUCUUGUCCACAAACUUAUGGACUUAGAUAACGUCAGUUGGCUUCAUGACACUGAAACAACAAAGGAACAUUGGGUCUGUAAGAUAUUAGCAUAAGUUUCUUGUAAAUCCUCUUGUUCAAGAAAAGUUGUACAAUAAGGGGCCAUUAUGGCACUAAAAUUUACUUCAUCACUUGGUAGUUAUCUUUGUCAAUCUGUAUGUAAUGACCUGCUUAAAAAAACCUAGAAUAUUACGAUCCUAUGUACCUUUUCCUUUUUUUUCUUUUUUCUUUUUUUUCUUUGGAGGAAUUACAACUUGAUCAUGAGAUAUGUGCUUAUGAAAUUAUAUUUCUUUAUGAUGU